rnacentral:rRNA from 1 species
AGAGUUUGAUCAUGGCUCAGAACGAACGCUGGCGGCGUGGAUAAGACAUGCAAGUCGAGCGGGAUCUCUUUUGGUAGCAAUACCGAAGGAAGUCUAGCGGCGAACGGGUGCUUAACACGUGGGCAACCUGCCAAGAAGUGGGGGAUAGCUCGCCGAAAGGCGAAUUAAUACCGCAUGUGAUUAGAGAGGACAUCCUUUCGAAAUUAAAGUCGGGGCAACCUGACGCUUUUUGUGGGGCCCGCGGCCUAUCAGCUAGUUGGUGAGGUAACGGCCCACCAAGGCUUUGACGGGUAGCUGGUCUGAGAGGACGACCAGCCACACUGGGACUGAGACACGGCCCAGACACCUACGGGUGGCAGCAGUCGAGAAUUUUUGACAAUGGGGGAAACCCUGAUCGAGCGACGCCGCGUGGAGGAUGAAGGUCUUCGGAUUGUAAACUCCUGUCAUUGGGGAACAAGGUGCAUACGUUAACUGCGUGUGCAUUGAUAGUACCCGAAGAGGAAGAGACGGCUAACUCUGUGCCAGCAGCCGCGGUAAUACAGAGGUCUCAAGCGUUGUUCGGAUUCAUUGGGCGUAAAGGGUGCGUAGGCGGCGCGGUAAGUCGGGUGUGAAAUCUCGGGGCUUAACUCCGAAACUGCAUUCGAUACUGCCGUGCUUGAGGACUGGAGAGGAGACUGGAAUUUACGGUGUAGCGGUGAAAUGCGUAGAUAUCGUAAGGAAGACCAGUGGCGAAGGCGGGUCUCUGGACAGUUCCUGACGCUGAGGCACGAAGGUCAGGGGAGCAAACGGGAUUAGAUACCCCGGUAGUCC